rnacentral:rRNA from 1 species
GGUAACAGAGAGUAGCUUGCUACUCUGCUGACGAGUGGCGGACGGGUGAGUAAUGUCUGGGGAUCUGCCUGAUGGAGGGGGAUAACUACUGGAAACGGUAGCUAAUACCGCAUAAUGUCGCAAGACCAAAGCGGGGGACUUUCGGGCCUCGCACCAUCAGAUGAACCCAGAUGGGAUUAGCUAGUAGGUAGGGUAAUGGCUUACCUAGGCGACGAUCCCUAGCUGGUCUGAGAGGAUGACCAGCCACACUGGAACUGAGACACGGUCCAGACUCCUACGGGAGGCAGCAGUGGGGAAUAUUGCACAAUGGGCGCAAGCCUGAUGCAGCCAUGCCGCGUGUAUGAAGAAGGCCUUCGGGUUGUAAAGUACUUUCAGUCAGGAGGAAGGGUGUGAAAUUAAUACUUUCAUGCAUUGACGUUA